ACAAAUGAUAUAAUUUGUCAUGGUCGAUAUCAGAAUACUGGAUAGCCUACUCGUGGUAAGUCAGAUUUUUUUUUUUUUUUUUUUAUUAAUUAAUACUAAACUAAUACUAUUUAUAAUAUAGUACUUGCUUUUUCAGGUGGAGAGGCAUAUUAGAGCUCAGUGAGAGCCCAUAACAUUAUACAGCAGUGUCGUCUUGAUUUAAUUGGGAGUUGAGCAACUUUUCCAUAAACAAAAUUCUGAUGCUGACACAGAGGAUGGAGUGAUAAUACCAGAGAUCAACUGUCUCCAUCAGACAAUAAUGUUACUUUGUUCAGACAUAUCACCUUUGAAUGACUGGGAUCCUGAUCUUCAGACACCUGAUGUAUUUUAUUUUAAUAUUAUAAAAUAGCAAAUAUUUUAAUUUCUUUGGAGCUCUAGAUUAAAACAAACACAGUUUACAAGUACACAAGAGGUUGCAGUUUAUUCUUAUUAGUCUAUGCUGAUCAUGGAUUAGCAUACCAACAGCAUAUGAAUGGGAUAGUUCACCCAAAAAUAAAAUUCUCACUUAUUUUACUCACCCUCAUGCUGUCCCAGAUGCAUUUUACUUUCUUUCUACAGAUAAAUACGAAUUAAGAUUUUAAGGAAAGUAAUCCAUCUCUGCGAGUCCUAAAGAUGCUUUAAAAACCACACACAGUGACCGUGAUGUCCAUGCGACCUCAGUGGAUGAAUCAAUGCCUUCUGAAGUGAAACAAUAGGAUAAGAAAAA